AGGGCUAAGGAAAAGCGCACGGCUGGAAAAGUGCGUCCAAGCAGUAAGUUCCGGUAGCGAGUGAAAUGCUUGCCGCCUUAAGGACAAGCUGUGAUGGGGAGCGAAAUUAAAGUAGCGAAGUUCCUGAUGUCACACUGCCAAGAAAAGCUUCUAGUGAGAAAUAAACUACCCGUACCGCAAACCGACACAGGUAGUCGAGGAGAGUAUCCUCAGGUGAGCGAGCGAACUCUCGUUAAGGAACUCGGCAAAAUGACCCCGUAACUUCGGAAGAAGGGGUGCUGACCGCAAGGUCAGCCGCAGUGAAUAGGCCCAAACAACUGUUUAUCAAAAACACAGGUCUCUGCUAAAUCGUAAGAUGAUGUAUAGGGGCUGACGCCUGCCCGGUGCUGGAAGGUUAAGAGGAUGAGUUAGCGCAAGCGAAGCCCAGAAUUGAAGCCCCAGUAAACGGCGGCCGUAACUAUAACGGUCCUAAGGUAGCGAAAUUCCUUGUCGGGUAAGUUCCGACCCGCACGAAAGGCGUAAUGAUUUGGGCACUGUCUCAACGAGAGACUCGGUGAAAUUAUAGUACCCGUGAAGAUGCGGGUUACCCGCGACAGGACGGAAAGACCCCAUGGAGCUUUACUGUAGCUUGAUAUUGAGUGUUGGUACCGCUUGUACAGGAUAGGUAGGAGCCGUAGAGAUCGGAACGCUAGUUUCGAUGGAGGCAUUGGUGGGAUACUACCCUAGCUGUAUGAACACUCUAACCCGCGCCACUAAUCGUGGCGGGAGACAGUGUCAGGUAGGCAGUUUGACUGGGGCGGUCGCCUCCUAAAAUGUAACGGAGGCGCCCAAAGGUUCCCUCAGAAUGGUUGGAAAUCAUUCGCAGAGUGUAAAGGUAGAAGGGAGCUUGACUGCGAGACUGACAAGUCGAGCAGGGACGAAAGUCGGGCUUAGUGAUCCGGUGGUUCCGUAUGGAAGGGCCAUCGCUCAACGGAUAAAAGCUACCCUGGGGAUAACAGGCUUAUCUCCCCCAAGAGUCCACAUCGACGGGGAGGUUUGGCACCUCGAUGUCGGCUCAUCGCAUCCUGGGGCUGUAGUCGGUCCCAAGGGUUGGGCUGUUCGCCCAUUAAAGCGGUACGCGAGCUGGGUUCAGAACGUCGUGAGACAGUUCGGUCCCUAUCCGUCGCGGGCGCAGGAAAUUUGAGAGGAGCUGUCCUUAGUACGAGAGGACCGGGAUGGACGUUCCGCUGGUGUACCAGUUGUGCCGCCAGGCGCAUCGCUGGGUAGCUAUGAACGGAAGGGAUAAACGCUGAAAGCAUCUAAGUGUGAAGCCCCCCUCGAGAUGAGAUUUCCCAUUCCUAUAUGGAAGUAAGACCCCUGAAAGAUGAUCAGGUAGAUAGGCUGGAAGUGGAAGUGCAGCGAUGCAUGGAGCGGACCAGUACUAAUCGGUCGAGGACUUAACCAA
rnacentral:rRNA from 1 species